UGCCAGUUAGCUCAGUCGGUUAGAGUGUGGUGCUGAUAAGGCCAAGGUUGCGGGUUCAAUCCCUGUUUGGUAC
rnacentral:tRNA from 1 species